GAAGACAUUGGAUGAUUUUUCCCCCUCAAAAAAGGGUUACAAAUGUGGGGGAGGAGUGAGUUUCCCGUAACCUCACUCACACAGCGACUCCAGCCGGUUUCUGAGAGGUCGUGGCACUUCUUCUAAAUAUAUCAAAUUAUUUAUGAGUUUAGUAACAGAAACAUAAUCACAUGUGAAAUAGGGCCGUAGAGCAUAUACACGGUGUAACAAAAAGGGGGUAUACAUAUCAAGUGCACGGUUUCUAUAUAACAUAACAAACGAUACGGGAAGGGUUUUUUAAACUCAUGUUUUCAUGGAACGAAGUUAUGAAUUUACCAAUACUCUUUAUUUUUUUAUUUUUCAUGCGAAUUAAAAUUAGGUAGAUAGGUACUAGGCAAUCAGAUUUACAGAAGAAAUGUUUCGUAAUUAGCGAGUGACCCCUGUAGUGUUGUGACACGUUUGUAUGAUUUAUAAAAUCAAGAACCAUGCGACACCAAGUAUUUGGUACCAAUUUUUUUUAAACGUAUUUUAAGUUGAAACUUUGUGUAGAGAUUCUAUUCAACCUGUAUUCUCCAGUGCUUGUUGAUGUAUAUGGGUAUUUUGUUAUACGCUGUAUAUAUGAAAAUAUUAACAAAAAACCCACACAGGGCCGGAUUAGGGCGUCAGGUAAGAAGAGAAGUGUGGACACACGACUCUCUUAUUGACUCAACUACAUGAACCCACUCGACCGGAGUAAAACCACGGCCUCACAGAAAACCGACGUGAAACAACGCUUGCGUUGUGUGAGUGAGGUUACCGGAGGCCCAAUUACUCCUCUUCCGAAACUUCCCAAUCCUCGAUUCCCCAACAACCCUUUAAUUCCUAACCAAUUGUAACGUUUCUGGUGUUUCGGGUGUCUAUGGCCGGCGGCGAUUGCUUACCCAGGUGAUCCAUCUGCUCUUUUAUCGGCUUAUACAAUAAAACAUACAUCACAGAUAAAUACUGAUUUUGACUGCACAGUUGGCACGGUGGCUGGGCUACUGGCUGCCGUGCAACGUGUCGUGGGUUCGAUUCCCGCACGGAACAACACUUUGUGUGAUCCACAGAUUGUUGUUCCGAGUCUGGGUGUCAUGUGUAUGUGAACUUGUAUGUUUGUAAACGCACCCACGACACAGGAGAAAAUCCUAACGUGGGGUAACGUCUUUUUUUUAAAAAACCACCCCGUUCUAUCUCCUGCCCUACGACAGGCCUCCUGUAGUACCAUCCGCGGUCCUAUUGGAUCCCAUUCGUGAUAGUCUAACGCGCCAAAAGCCAAUCGAUUUUCUACAUUUACACUUACAUUCUACGACGGCCAGAUGUUUUUUUUUUUAUGAAACACGCGCCGGUAAACGAGCAGACGUAUCACCUGAUGGUAAGCAAUCGCCGCCGCCCAUGGACACUUAAAACACCAGAGGCGUUACAAGUGCGUUACCGGCUUUUUGGGGCUAAGGGUUGUUCGGGAAUCAGGGAUUGGGAAGAUUGGGAAGGGGGGAAUUGGGCCUCCGGUAACCUCACUCACACAACGAAACGUUGUUUCACGUUGGUUUUCUGUGAAGCCGCGGUAUCACUCCGGUCGAGCCGGCCCAGCAGUGCCGAAGCAUGGCUCUCCCACCGAUAAAUAAUCAUCUUAACACAUGGCAAUUAUUAGUAUCACCUUAACGCUUGGCAGUUCAAAUGCUGCCCUGGCCAUUUUACUACCAUAGGUACCAUAGGUCUUAUGAUACCAAUUACCAUAAAACAAGGAAAACCUGAAUAACAACGACGCUAUAACAGAAACAUAAAAUUUAUUUUAUCUGUGAACGCCAUUACAAGAUCAUCUUUUAUAUAAACAACUCGUGCGCAGCUAAAGAAACCAUGAAGAUAAUUUUUAAAUUGUUUCUGAUUUUCGCGCUAAGCAUUGCGUUAAUAAAUGCGCAAAAAUCUGGAGGAAAAGGAAAGCCACGUUACGGAUACGGAGAUGGUCACUUCGGUGGUGGGCACCUACCAGCAUCAUGGAUAAAACGAUCUUACAGCCGACAACGUGGAGGAUAACCAAUAUCUUCUUCUCUAUUCUGUGAUAACCAACGAUAUCUUGACAAUAAAUUAAAUAACAAACAUAAUUAUCACAAUGGCGGACAUGGAACUGAAAAUCUGAAAAUAAUUUUAACUCUUAAUAAAUAUUUGGGUAACAUAA